rnacentral:ncRNA from 1 species
AUGAAUCUGCCACCGGGCAGAGGCAGUGCAUUAUGCGCUCGCAAACACAUCGUUAGGUCUUUGAAGAUGUGUUUACGGGUGCGUUUUUUUU